UACGGGGGGGGCAAGCGUUGUUCGGAAUUACUGGGCGUAAAGGGCUCGUAGGCGGCCAACUAAGUCGGAUGUGAAAUCCACAGGCUUAACCUGGGAACUGCAUCCGAUACUGGUUGGCUUGAAUCCGGGAGAGGGAUGCGGAAUUCCAGGUGUAGCGGUGAAAUGCGUAGAUAUCUGGAGGAACACCGGUGGCGAAGGCGGCAUCCUGGACCGGCAUUGACGCUGAGUGAGCGAAAGCCAGGGGAGCAAACGGG
rnacentral:rRNA from 1 species